rnacentral:tRNA from 1 species
GGAGCUGUGGCCGAGUGGCUGAAGGCGCUGGUUUGCUAAACCAGUAUACCUGGUAACGGGUAUCGAGGGUUCGAAUCCCUCCGGCUCCGCCA